rnacentral:pre_miRNA from 1 species
CAUCUACUCUCUCCGUUUCAUAAUUCUUGUCGAAAUGUUACAUGUAUCUAGACACCUUUUAGUAAUAGAUACAUUCAUUUUUGAACAAAAUUGAGUCAAGAAUUAUGAAACGGAGGGAGUAUACU